GACGUAGGGGGCCAGCGUUGUUCGGAAUUACUGGGUGUAAAGGGUUCGUAGGCGGUGUGGCAAGUCGGGAGUGAAAUUUCUGGGCUCAACUCAGAGACUGCUUCCGAAACUGCUGUGCUUGAGUGUGGGAGAGGCGCGUGGAAUUGCAGGUGUAGCGGUGAAAUGCGUAGAUAUCUGCAGGAACACCCGUGGCGAAAGCGGCGCGCUGGACCACUACUGACGCUGAGGCACGAAAGCGUGGGGAGCAAACAGG
rnacentral:rRNA from 1 species